rnacentral:rRNA from 1 species
GAGUUUGAUCCUGGCUCAGGAUGAACGCUGGCGGCGUGCUUAACACAUGCAAGUCGAACGAAGCACUUUAUUUGAUUUCCUUCGGGACUGAUUAUUUUGUGACUGAGUGGCGGACGGGUGAGUAACGCGUGGGUAACCUGCCUUAUACAGGGGGAUAACAGUCAGAAAUGGCUGCUAAUACCGCAUAAGCGCACAGAGCUGCAUGGCUCAGUGUGAAAAACUCCGGUGGUAUAAGAUGGACCCGCGUUGGAUUAGCUAGUUGGUGGGGUAACGGCCCACCAAGGCGACGAUCCAUAGCCGGCCUGAGAGGGUGAACGGCCACAUUGGGACUGAGACACGGCCCAAACUCCUACGGGAGGCAGCAGUGGGGAAUAUUGCACAAUGGGGGAAACCCUGAUGCAGCGACGCCGCGUGAGCGAAGAAGUAUUUCGGUAUGUAAAGCUCUAUCAGCAGGGAAGAAAAUGACGGUACCUGACUAAGAAGCACCGGCUAAAUACGUGCCAGCCGCCGCGGUAAUUC